CGGACGGGUGAGUAAUGUCUGGGAAACUGCCUGAUGGAGGGGGAUAACUACUGGAAACGGUAGCUAAUACCGCAUAACGUCGCAAGACCAAAGAGGGGACCUUCGGGCCUCUUGCCAUCGGAUGUGCCCAGAUGGGAUUAGCUAGUAGGUGGGGUAACGGCUCACCUAGGCGACGAUCCCUAGCUGGUCUGAGAGGAUGGCCAGCCACACUGGAACUGAGACACGGUCCAG
rnacentral:rRNA from 1 species